AAGCUUUCUGUGUGUAAAAUGUGUGUCUAUUUUAAUGGUGAUCCGUGAUUCAUGUGUCCUCUCAGAGAUGAUUUUAGCACCCAGUGAUGCUGCAGAGAAUGUGACCAGGCUUCUGACAUGUCUUCUUAAUGUGAUAAUAAAAACACAUGGCAUACAAUUUGCCGCUAGCCAUUUUAAGAUAAUACUCAGCUGUAUGAAUCCAUCACGUUGUGUGAAUCCAUUCAUCUGCUAAUGGACACUUGGGUGGCAUCCAGCACUUACUGUUGUGAACAGUGCUUCAUGAACAACCUACUCCCAUGGGCAGGGCAUCUUAAAAGAUGCCCUGGGCUGGGGAUUUAGCUCAGUGGUAGAGCGCUUACCUAGGAAGCGCAAGGCCCUGGGUUCGGUCCCCAGCUCCGAAAAAAAGAACAACAACAACAACAAAAAAAAAUGCCCUCCUCUCAAGUACUUAUGUAUAUAUGUCCCCAAGUGGAGCUAUAGGAUCAUGCAUAACUGUCAUGAGCAUGUUAUGUCGGAAGCAAUGAUGGAUACAUUAAUGUCUUAUUACAAUGUCAGAAUUUUUGAAUAACAAUAAAUUUACAAGCUCCGUCAGUUUCAUUGGCUGUAAUUUGCUGUGUCCCAAUUUCCCUUGGUAGCUGGCAGUUCUUUUGUUGUGAUCUUAGCCACUGAUAUAAUCUUUAGAGCUCACAUUGUAAUCAACUGUAAUGAUGUGUGUGAGCACUAGGGGACAGAGGGUUAAAGAGGUGGAGGCAGGGGGAUGGGUGUAAACAGAUUCCGGGGUGCCGUGUUAGCCAAUGUGUCCUGCUAGGGAUGCUGCUAGCACAGAGCCAGACUGCAGACCUCACAGGCUUGACCUGAGCCUGAGGAGAGUGAGGGUGCUGAUGAGAGGGCUGGCCUGUGGAGGCUGUAGAAGUGAGAGGCAGGCCCCGGUGACACACUAGUAGACUAUCAGAUGGCCAUGGGAGUAGGCUGUGUCAGCAGUGGCACAGAGCAGGGCUGAAGCCCCUAAAGUGCCUAGAACGUCUCUGCUGCCUACUCUAGUCCCAUGGCACACGCCCGAUGGUCAGAUGAUCGGUUUGUGGGGACUGUCAACGGUGUAGUGUCAACGUCUCCUUCAUGAGGCUCAGGUAAGGGCGUUUCAUUCUUCCUUGGUCUGGUAUGUUCUAGGUCCUGCUUCUUCUGGUAUGUGACCGUGAGGUCCUGACCUACUUUGCUACUUUAUAGGGUGAUACCCAUUUUACUUGAAGGAACACGUAAUCACUGGCGUGUGCCUUGUGGGUGGUGCUGGAUAGGCAGUGGUGUCUAGAUGCACGACGAGGAGACUUGUUCUAUGCCUGCGUUCACAGUGAAGGCUGAGUCAGUGCUGCAUGGAGGGCAGAGUGACUGGCUGGGUGAGUUCAGUGUCAUCACAGCUGCAGUCCUCUGUCUGCUUUGGGGCAGCGUCCAUGCCAGGUGUACCGUUAUGGUCCAGUGAUCGUAUGUAGGCUUCUCACACUCUUCUCUCCUCACCACUUUCUUGUGCUGACCGUCACCCUAACCAGUGUGUGUUUGCUUUGUCGGGUGUUCUCUGUGUAUCCAUUGCAUGUUUGUAUAUUAUCUCUACAAGAGUGCCCUUUCAAGUUCUUGGCCUUUUUUCUUCCUUCCUUCCUUCCUUCCUUCCUUCCUUCCUUCCUUCCUUCCUUCCUUUCUUUCUUUCUUUCUUUCUUUCUUUCUUUCUUUCUUUCUUUCUUUCUUUCUUUCUUUCUUUCUAAAACCAAGCUACCGUCUUUGCGUUCUUGAGUUGUAGGAAUCCUUCACACUUGUAACUUCUGGUACUGGGCUCAGCCCCUAAAACCAUUCUUCUGGGUGUCAUGUCUGUCACUGCUUCUGUUGACCUUGGUCCUUGUGACAAGGACAACAGUCCUGAGUAAAAUGAGAAUCCUGGUCCUCAGGAGGCUUAUAGUCCCGUGGGGCAAGACAGACAAUCGGGAAGAGAAAGGUAAUGUGCAGCCUGUUAGAGCAUCAGGGCCAAGGGCGGAUCUAAUCAGAGGAGGGUGGAGAGUGUGGCUGGCCGGCCGAGGGACCAGUUCAGACAGUGUGGCUUUUCCCCUUUUGUUUCUUUUUUGUUUGGUUUGGUUUCUGGACAGGGUUUCCUUUUGUAUUGUUGGCUGUCCUAGAACUAGCUCUGUAGACCAGCUGGGCUUGAAUUUGCAGAGAUCCGUCUGCUUUAAAGGUGUUUACCUCACCGCCUAGGUCAUUGUGGCCAUUUUAAAGGAGGCGAUAUAGACAGGCAGAAACAUGGCAGGAGUGUUCUGGAACAGAGCAGAGGCCAAUGUGACUGCAGAGAACAGAGGACCAGGUCAUGUAGCACUUCACAGGACAAGAGGUAGGAAGCGACUGGAGGGCCCUCAACAGCAGCUCAAGGCUCUCACUUGUGUUCUAACAUGAAACCGUUGACCACUGUGCUGAGCGUGCUUGAAGAGUGAAGGAGGCAAGACAUCAGUUAGGAGCAGGAAGUAGAGAAUGAGCUGGAAGUAGGGUAAGGCUAUAAACCCUCCUCCAGCAAGGCUCCAUGCCCUAAAGUGGUCUCGUAACCUCCCCAGACAGUGUGACCAACUAAAGACCACGAGUGCAGAUACAUGAACUGAUGAAGACAUUCAUCCAGGCCACAACAAGCGCAGGUCUAAUUUGUCCUGUCUUUCCCUCAUCUCUCCCGGUAGCCAAGCCCUCUACCACAUCCUUUUCUCCCUCUUUUCCUGCCAGCUCAGAGGCUACUGCACAUCCCUUUCUCACGGUAAUGCUUUUGUAUGCAGACAGCUGAGCCUUACUGCUGUCUGUCACUCACAGCAAAGCUCCUCCCCACUGCUGCCACGGCCUGCUUACAGUUCCAUCCCCUGCCUGCACAGUUCAGGGAUCCCCAUCAUUCUCUAUCUGUCAGCCAUUUUGGAGAUGUCCCAACACUCAUGUGAUAAGAAGUGUGGUACUCUACCACACAGAGGAAGACAGGCCCUCUGGGGUUACCCCACAGACACCACCUUCAGACAGAGCAGCCUUGGUUGCGAGGCAAGAACAAGGUAACUAACUCUAGCAAGAAGGCAUGCUGUUCCCUACCACAGGGUAUGGGCAGUGUAGGAAUCCUCUCCCUCUUCAGCCCAAGAUGCUCCAUAGCAGAGGAGCUUUCCCCCACUGCAGGAGCAGUGCAUCCUCCCAAGCUCUCCUUUGGCCUUACGGUCCCUGUCUGAGCACCAAGUGUUGCAGGACUUUCCCUGAGGAGAUGCACUCAGAUGUCUGCUCAGAUCAGCGAGGGCUCCCAAGUGCAGCCUGGUGGACAGAUGAGUCUAUUGGCCUUCCUUAGAGGAGCAUACCAAGCUGUCUGUCAUAAGACUGUGGUGACUGCACGACAGAUACAUCACCAGGAAGUCUCCCGCCAGCAGGACGACCACUUCCCGGACCACUUCCCAAAAGCUGCGUAAACAAGUAACUCCUCUAGUCAAACUUGGUUUCCUGUAUAUUUUAGCAUUUCUUAAGACCGCGCAGUGCAGCUUGGGCAGGUUGCAUACAGCUGAGGGAGGGGUCGUGGAGGGAUGGGCUGCAGUCUAAGACGAGGGUCCCAUGGUCUAUCCCAUCUUCUGUGAGUGAAUGUUAAGAUGGUGAGGACCAAAGCUGGAGGGAUGCCUCAGUGAUCAAGAGCACUUGCUGUUCUCGCCGAGGACCCAGGUUCAGUUCCCAGCACCCACAAGAUUACUCAGGCUCACAAGUGUCUGUAACUCCAAUUCCAGGGCAUCAGGCUCUCUUCUGGCCUCCAUUGGCUCCUGUCCUUACAUGCUCUGCCUAGGGUCACACAAGUAUAUACAUGAAUAAAUAAACCUAGGAGAAAUGGAAAUAGUGGUGACCACACUGUGGCCGGAAGACAGUUGUCCCCUGCAGCAUCCCUCACAGUAGCACACAACAAAGAAGCACCUUAAAGUGCCAGCAUACUUGUACCCCAGAAACCCGAAAUCGGAGACUUACUACACAAUUGCGAUCCUGAGGCUCUCUGUUAGAACACCUUCUUUCUGAUCAUUCAGAAGCCCUCGGGAAUGACUUAUGAUUUUAAACUUCUCCCCAUGACACAUUUUUGUAUCUUAAUCCAUACCCAUUCUUGCAGUAAUGAGAACUGUCUUUUCUCUGAGCCCUGUCACUGUGUUAGCUCCGGAGAAACAAGUUCCUUUUCUCUGAGGAGAGCAUGGCCCAGCUUUCCAGGUCCUCAGCCUUCCUAACGCUACGACUCUUUAACACAGUUCUCGUGUUGUGGGCCCCCACCAUACAAUUAUUUUCACUGAUACUUCAUAACUGUAUUUUACUACUGUUAGGAAUCCUGAAUUGUAGUGUAAAUAUCUGGGUUUUCCAGUGGUUUUCAGCAACGCUUAGAGAGAGGCCUGCAAAGGGGUCAUUUGGACCCAAGGGUUUGCGACCCUUGGUUUCUGAGAACCUCAGGCUUUGCUGUUACUCAGAGUCUGCUUGAGACUUAGAAGUUUAUUUCUGCAGAGAGCUCCAGUAGACAUAGCUGGGAGAAUGCGGGACCAGAGCCUCACAGACAGUGUGUGCCCUGCUUCUGAACUGGAAUUUGGAGCAGCAGUUUUGAAUGCCAGUUGCCACUGCUUUGAGAGCUGACAACGUACUUCCUGCCUCUGCCUUAAUCUGGCCAGCCGGGUUUGCUCUUGCUGCACUGUCUCUAGGGAGACAACGGCUUAGACUUGAGGCUUUCAUCUACCAUUUUUGUCUUAUUUCAUUUUGUCUUGAGGGGGCAAGAAUCGAUUUUUGAGAUGAGUCACUAUAAGACUCAUGAUCCUCCUGCUUCAGCCUCCCAACCUUGAUUUGCCAUUUUCUUUCUCUUUUUAAAAUUUACUUACUUAAGUAGUGUGUGGUGUGUGUGUGUGUGUGUGUGUGUGUGUGUGUGUGUAUGCAUGCACGUGCACCCCCGAGUUCAUUCAUGUUUGUAGAGGCCAGAACACAUUGAAUGUCACCUUCUAUAGCUCUCUGCUAUGUUCCCUUGAAAUGGGGUUCUUUCACUGAGCCUGGAGCCCACACAUUUCUGGAUAGACUAGACACACACACACACACACACACACACACACACACACACACACACGGCAUGUACAGCCAUUCAUGUCUAGCUGUUUUUUGGGGUGCUGAGGAUCUGAACUCCAUCUCCCCAGCCCUGGACAUUCUCCUGCCUCAGCUGCCAUCACAUACUCUUUUCAGCUGUGUGUCUGAGACACAUUUUCAUCUUCUCCCUUGAACAAAGCUGUUUAUUUUCAAGAUUUCAGACGUAAACUGCCGUGUCCCAGUUAUGCCUGCUGUGAGGCCGAACAGCAGCUGCUUCUUUACCCUGGAAAGGUUUCUGAACUGAGUGGGCACCGGGCAGGUUAACAAGGGAAAAGAUACACACGACAGCAAUCCCCACCCCCAAAAAAUGCUAGAAUGAUAUACAAAGUGGCAAAUGAAAGUCACAAAUACUUCCUUCCUCUCUGGAGAGGGGCGCACAGAUGUGCAGUAGAACAGAUGGACUUAAACUGCCCAGAAGCAACCUCGGUCCAUGGCCACACAAUAACCUAUGCACACUUCUUUGUCCAAGAGUCGUUUUUGAGUGGUAGAAAAUGGCUUUUAGAGACCAGAGCGGUUUGUGUGAUUCUCCCUGGAAGUGAGUUGUCAGGGAGACAGAUUACAGUUUGUGACAGGCUAGCCAGGGGUAGUGACAUAACCCACUCUUUCUCUCCUGUGACACUCAAGGAUGUCAUCUUUAGGCAAAUAAGGGAACACCGGAGUGAAGCCUCUCCCAGACUCCAAGAGCCCACAUUUGAAAAUUACUGUGCUACUGCUGAGUCAGGGAUGCUGUGGCCCCUUCGCCUGGGUGGGAGGGUGCUGUGGGCUUCCUGCCCCUUCGCCUGGAUGGCUGAAUGGUUUUUGUGUGUUUAGUUAGCGUUUCACAGCUCUUGAUUUUGGUUCUGCUUUCUCAUAAGUGAUUUGUUAUUGACAAGGAAAAGAAAAGGUAGAUUCAUGAUACUCAAAAGAAGAGUCACCCCCUGCUCUUAGGUAAGGAGAGUAUUAAUGAGAACUCAGGUCUUAGCUGAGCCGACAGGAGUGCACCCUUGAGGGUCUGCCCGCCUGGCGUGCUCUUAGGAACUGACGUUAGUCAUGAGUAGCUCUGGAAGGCUGCCAUUUGCUUGAUUAUGUAAGUUGCAGUUUUUGUGAAGUUUUUGAAGAGCAUUGUCAAGUAUUUUUGAGCAUAUUCCACCCCAGAAUUCAUAAAAUUAUCACGGUAAAAAGGCGCCUCUCCCUCCGUUCUGACUCAGGAUGGAGGUAGUACUUUGUCCUCCAGAUGCUAAGCUUUGCAGGGACCUUCGAGCCCUUCAUUUCGGUAUUGUGGCACACUUGGUACUUGAGGCUGUCCUUAGAGCCUUUCAGUCUUCCUGCCGUACUAAUAAUGGGAACAUGGAAGCAGAGCCUUGUAACGGCUAGUCUCAGUCUUGGCUCUGUGGCUCUGUAAGUGUUUUGUGUACACCUACUUCUUGAAUAGAGCCUGAAGGACGCUUUGGUUUCUAACGAAUCUGCCUAAUGGGCAGUGCCCUUCACUUGUUUGGGAAGGUACACACACUGCUGUUCUGUGGCAUCCGUGGGCUCCAAGCUCUCCUGUGCUCUCUUUCUCUGAGGUAGGGGAGGGGGGCGGAGGAGAAGCCACAGACACUGCAUUUUCUGGCCUGUUUUUCCCAGAUACUGAUUUGUCUCUGAAGUGAAGUGGACCUCACAUCAAGUAGGCAUCCAUUCUGAACUCUGGGCAGAUAGGCUGUGGGGCACUGGUGCCUUUGGAAAGAGUCGAGCAAGGAUCUCCUGUGGCAGGCACAGGGUUUUCAGACUGUGGCCAGUGCCUUGAGACAGUGUAUGAAUAGGGUCAGAGCUGCAGAUAGCUUCUUGGUAUUAUGUGACUCUGUAGAAAUGCUACUCAUACGAUUACUUGGUGCUGACUUCUAUUUGGGAAAUGGGCUGGUACAGUGCUCCUGGAAAAUAAGCAGAAAAACAUCUUGCUCUGGGAACUUUAUGAUUUGAGUUUCUAGCGGCCUUCACAAAGUCUAUCCUUGAUUAAACUGUUUUCUCUGUAGGGUGUUUUGAGAUUCCUUACAUGAAAACAUGGUUUUGCCUCUGUGCUGUGUUUAAAGGACUUUUAACGGAGUGGGGUUGGAGGGUUUCCUUUUUCCUUUAGGACUGCUCCUGUUUGUUCCUCGGGGCUCAGCUGGCUCCCGACAGUUCCAUUACUGCCCGUCCCCUGGUUGACCCGUAGUUAUGAAGUGGACACCGUUUGUCAGGCAUUUUGUUGCAAUCCUAUGUGAUAUUUUCUUUAAUCAUUUCAGGACCGUGAGACGUUUUAGUUUCUCAAGACUGUUAAAUUGGGACCAUGUGUUUUCAGAGAAGCACCUGGCUCACUGUGCUGCUCUGAGGCAGCCCCGUGGGGCCAAGGUAGAUGUUCAUGUUGUAAGGGUCACAGUGCUCCUGGAGCUCCCCUGCUAUUUUGUGACACUUUGUAACCAUUGCCUGCUGCUAGCUGUCCUAAUGCUCUGAGUGAUGAGCUCUUCUGUGAGCUUUUGGUCCCAGUCAAAGCACUUGGAAAUGUCAGUCUGUCCUCCCACCUGUCACCCAUAGUACCAGAUCAUACUUGUUUAAAACCCUGUGCUACUUACAUGAGAGUGGGCUGUUGUUUUCUCUGACUCUGACAUGGACUUAGCAUGGUGUUAACAGAAUUCUCCCUCUCUGAAGCUGUUAUAUAACAGUUGUGUUUAAAACUAUACCAAACUGCCACCUUGUUUUGUUUUGCACUGCUGGUCAUUAAACCAGGCCUUGCAUGUAUUAGACAAUCGAUCUAUCCCUGAGUUAAAUCCCCAUUCCCAAAUCACCAUUUUGAGUCCUUUUUUUUUUUUUUUUUUUUUUUUUU